rnacentral:lncRNA from 10 species
UGGAAAGUCCAGGAUCAAGGCACCAGCAGAUUUGGUGCCUGGUGAGGGCCCUGUUUCUAACAGAUGGUGGAGGGGACAACGGAAGCCCUCAAGCUGCUUUUGUAAGGGCAAAAAUCCCCUUCACGAGGGCUCUGCCCUCACAGCCCACCUAAUCACCUCCCAAAGGCCCCACCUCCUAAUACCAACACAUCAGGGAUAAGAUUUCAACAUACACGUUUUGGAGGGACACAAACAUUCAGUCCAUACAUGAACAGCCACCUCUGUGCCACAAUGCUACUGGGACGCAGAGGUGAAGAGGUGCCACCACCGUCAAGAGGCCUUGGAGAAAGACCAUGGCACAUUAAAGAAAUAAUCGGAGGCAGCACUGGAAAAAGGAGCAUCUGGAUGCAGUAAAGACCCAUCCCUUCCCGCACUGGAGCUGUUGGCUCAUCCCUGGAAAUCACAACAAUCAAGAAUGGAGAAUCGUUCUUUUCAUCCCUUCUCACAGCAUUAUCCCAGCAACCUCAUCCCCUAACAAUGGUGUGGUCUGUGUUAUGUUUUCCCUCCAUCACUGCCCCUCCCUGCUGCUGCACAACAGAGGUGCUGUGCCCCAGAGGCCGCUGAGGUUGCAGGCCUCUCAGCCUCUGAAACAAGGCUGUGAGCGUUUGGAUGCACCCUCAGAAGGAGCUGCAUAAAUAAUCAGAUGAAAAACACCAAACCUUAACUAAAAAUGAAUUUUUUUUCCUCCAUUUUUUCCUCCAUUAAACCAGCUAAAAGAUUUUCAUGACAAUUCCCUGUAGUGUGAUAAAACAGACACCCUUGCAUGUUGCUCUGAACUAUUUGUUAGUAUUAUGUGUUUGGAAAAUAAUCUGGCAGUAUUUCAAAUGCCUUAAAAAUGUUCAUCCCUUUGUGCCCAAUAAUUCUCAUUUCUGGCAUCUGACUUUAAGGUAAUAAUUCAAAGGAAAGAAAAAGAUGUAUGUAUGAAGAUAUAUAUUGCAGUACUAGUUGGGG